rnacentral:rRNA from 1 species
GUGGGGAAUAUUGGGCAAUGGGCGAAAGCCUGACCCAGCAACGCCGCGUGAAGGAAGAAGGUUUUCGGAUCGUAAACUUCUAUCCUUGGUGAAGAUAAUGACGGUAGCCAAGAAGGAAGCCCCGGCUAACUACGUGCCAGCAGCCGCGGUAAUACGUAGGGGGCAAGCGUUGUCCGGAAUGAUUGGGCGUAAAGGGCGCGUAGGCGGCCCGGUAAGUCUGAAGUGAAAGUCCUGCUUUUAAGGUGGGAAUUGCUUUGGAUACUGUCGGGCUUGAGUGCAGGAGAGGUAAGCGGAAUUCCCGGUGUAGCGGUGAAAUGCGUAGAGAUCGGGAGGAACACCAGUGGCGAAGGCGGCUUACUGGACUGUAACUGACGCUGAGGCGCGAAAGUGUGGGGAGCAAACAGGAUUAGAUACCCUUGUAGUC